rnacentral:lncRNA from 1 species
UCAAACUCCUGACCUCAAGUGAUUCAGCCGCCUCGCCUCCCAAAGUGCUGGGAUUACAGGUGUGAGGCACCACAUCCGACCUCUGCUCUUCCUCAAAGGCCACCAAAUCAUGCCAGCUAACUGUGCAAAGAUGUUAGCCUGAUAGUCAAAGCUCUUCCCAGACUCUUAUAAACAUAGAAGAACAUAGCGGUUAAGAACAUGAGCUCUGCAGCAGGAUUACACGGAUUCCAAUCUCAGCUCAGCCACAUACUAGCUGUGUGAUGUUGGAUGAGAACAUUGAGGCCUAGGGCAUUUCAAUAGCUUGCCAAAGGGCUCAUCAUUCUCGGGUAACAGGAUGAGGCCAGACACCAAGGAUCCCUGGAUCCAUGCCCUACUCUCCACACUUGUCUUGGGUCUAUGAAGCCCCCAGUCCCAAGGUAAGUCAUGUCAUUGUGGAAAUUAAUUGCAACCUUUCAUGAUUGUCCGAUCCCAUCUAUGGGUUUCAAGGAAGAUUAUGAAGUCCUUAGAACCACAAUGUGUCUAAUUUUUAUUCUGUAUUUUAUUUAUUUUUAAAUGUCUGAGAUGCUGAGAACCUGAGAUAUCACUCAUCUCAUCUUCCUGAAUUUUAUGAACUAAGAAGCGAAAGCUCACCCAAAGCCAUUUAUAGAGUCUAUGGAAAAAGAAGGACUAGACCCUGGAUUCCGUGAUUUACAGGUUUUUCUUCUCCUAAUUUUCAAUCCACUCCAAAACAUGCAGAGAGAUGACCUUAGCAAAGAUGUUUAUUAGUAGAUAUAAAGGGUGGCUGGUGCCAUUCUUCCAAAAGGAAAGCUGUCAUCUUUACUCACUCAGUCCUCAGC